AUCAAAAUUUUCAAUUGAAAUUAGGAUCUCUAUUUCCAGCAAUGACUUUUCUAUGACGCUUGGAUUUCCUCUCUCUCCCACGCUUCGUGGGAAUCUUUUUGAUUGGAGUGGUUAUGACAGUUGACGUUGGAACAAAUGGUGAGGUAUGCCGGGUUUCAAGAAUUACAGGAGGUGGAGGAUGAACGAUUAUACUUGCACGAGGUGGAGUCAGGCGCCCAAGAAUGUCUCUGUGAUACCCCUGAAUCACAAA
rnacentral:misc_RNA from 1 species